rnacentral:misc_RNA from 1 species
AAGUCGUAACAAGGUCUCCGUUGGUGAACCAGCGGAGGGAUCAUUACAGAGUUACCAAGCUCGCCAAAACCAUCGCGAACGUUACCCGUACCGUUGCCUCGGCGGGCGGCUCCGUCCCGGAGCCGCAGCCCCCUCACCGGGGCGGCCCGCCGGAGGUCAGCCGGAGAAAAACUCUUUGUCCUCUAGGGCCUCUCUGAGUAUUUUUGUACUAAACAAGUCAAAACUUUCAACAACGGAUCUCUUGGUUCUG